UCCCUGGUGGCUCAGAGAGUAUAGCGUCUGCCUGCAAUGCAGGAGACACAGGUUCAAUCCCUGGGUCGGGAA
rnacentral:tRNA from 1 species